rnacentral:rRNA from 1 species
CCUACGGGUGGCAGCAGUGAGGAAUAUUGGUCAAUGGACGAGAGUCUGAACCAGCCAAGUAGCGUGAAGGAUGACUGCCCUAUGGGUUGUAAACUUCUUUUAUAUGGGAAUAAAAUGUUCCACGUGUGGGAUUUUGUAUGUACCAUAUGAAUAAGGAUCGGCUAACUCCGUGCCAGCAGCCGCGGUAAUACGGAGGAUCCGAGCGUUAUCCGGAUUUAUUGGGUUUAAAGGGAGCGUGGGUGGAUUGUUAAGUCAGUUGUGAAAGUUUGCGGCUCAACCGUAAAAUUGCAGUUGAAACUGGCAGUCUUGAGUACAGUAGAGGUGGGCGGAAUUCGUGGUGUAGCGGUGAAAUGCUUAGAUAUCACGAAGAACUCCGAUUGUGAAGGCAGUUCACUGGACUGCAACUGACACUGAGGCUCGAAAGUGUGGGUAUCAAACAGGAUUAGAUACCCUGGUAGUC